rnacentral:rRNA from 1 species
GACGAACGCUGGCGGCGUGCUUAACACAUGCAAGUCGAACGAAGAGCGAUGGAAGCUUGCUUCUAUCAAUCUUAGUGGCGAACGGGUGAGUAACGCGUAAUCAACCUGCCCUUCAGAGGGGGACAACAGUUGGAAACGACUGCUAAUACCGCAUACGAUCUAAUCUCGGCAUCGAGGAUAGAUGAAAGGUGGCCUCUACAUGUAAGCUAUCACUGAAGGAGGGGAUUGCGUCUGAUUAGCUAGUUGGAGGGGUAACGGCCCACCAAGGCGAUGAUCAGUAGCCGGUCGGAGAGGAUGAACGGCCACAUUGGGACUGAGACACGGCGCAGACUCCUACGGGAGGCAGCAGUGGGGAAUCUUCCGCAAUGGACGAAAGUCUGACGGAGCAACGCCGCGUGAGUGAUGACGGCCUUCGGGUGGUAAAGCUCUGUUAAUCGGGACGAAAGGCCUUCUUGCGAAUAGUGAGAAGGAUUGACGGUACCGUAAUAGAAAGCCACGGCUAACUACGUG